UGGUAUGUUGCUUUUUCCACUGUACUUACUGAUUGUUCCUUUUAUCUCCAGUUCAUAGCUCCUUGAGGAAAGAGACUGCCGUAAAACUGGACACUUGGAGAAUAUCAGAUUCCAGGUCCCUGUAUUCCCUCAGACUCCAGGCGACAUGUAUCAAGUCUUCCAAAUGUUUCCCUGAAAGCUCCUCUCGCAUAGUUUGGGACUCUCCCAACUGCCUUUUCAAUCCUCCUUCUACAAAAAAACAUGGAAGAGGUAGCUGAGGGAUAUCAUUGAGGAUAGACUUUUAAAUGUUGUCAGCUCCCAGAAAGCAGCAGUCUAUAUAACUUUUAAAUAAAUGCCUGUGAAGAAUGGUUCUUCAAGAUGAGAUCAGUCAGAACAUUUUCUAUUCAGUAUUUAAUGACAAAUUAAUUUAAAAUUAUUUUUUGACGUAUACUUCCAGAAAGAAUUUUAGGCAGAUUACAAAAAUAUACAAAAUACCCAUGACAGAGCUGUAACAAAGACGUAUAGUAAAAAAAAUAAGAUAAGGCCACCCAUGAGAUUAGUGCAUGCGCUUUGAAGUCCUACAUACUUGCGAGAGCGUGGGUCUGAUCUUUCUGGCAGUGAAGAGACAUGGUCGGUAACAUGAUGCACGGGAUCUGUGAGAGAGAAGCUGGUCUUUUAUUCAGGUGAAGCACAGCCACUCAGACCUGCCUGGAAGGUUGUCACCUCACUUCGACAGAUGUGAUAGGUUGACUGAGGGGAUCACACUCAGUCAACGCUGGAACAAAUCCAUAAUCCAAGACCUAACGUUCUAUGCCAUGGCAGUAGAGCUGAAGUAACAUUGGUGGAGAACAUUUUUAAAGCAGGUUUCACCAAAACCAGAAAA